CAUCCUGCUCAACGCCCCGCGCAGCCGUUUGACCUCCGCCUCGCCUCCCUGCCUCAUCUGCAGACGCAGGCUACUUCUCGGACAGUGUCACUUAACGGCCACCCCCUGAAGAAGGAACUCCUUCCACCAGACCCCAUCUAAGGCUCGUUUCUCCCCAGGGCUCUGCUCUGGCUGCAGCUUGCUGCCUUCUCCGCGUCCAGCAGCUACCUGGGUGAGCUGCUCAGACCCCUCCAGGAGGCAGUAACCGGGCCCCAGAGAUUUUAGGACGGUCUCUAUUCCAAACAGUUCAUCAGACUAUGUGUCCAGUGACGCAUCUCGACUCUUCAAAACAUACAGGUGAUAAUGCACAGAAUGGAAGUGUGAAAGACAAAGCAAACAAAGCCCAAAAAUAAACACCAAACCAAUGCUCACCCCAAAUGAGUACAAACAGGGACAGAACUAGCAAUUGUUUUCUGUGGAUGUUUUGUUUCCUGUCUCAGAACAGAAAGAAAGAAAGAACCCAAGAAAGACAACAACAGCGCACAGCCUCUGCAGGGCACAGAAGUUUCCACCCGCUAAGACAACAGCAGGAAUCUUCCCGGAAUCAUCUUCCCUGACUGGGCACUAAUAAUUAUGUUGCCAAGAAAAUCUUGUCUCCUUAGACUUAUGUAGGACAGGAAGGAAAAUGUAGCCAGAAAGGUCAAGUUGAGUCCAGAAGACUGGAGAAUCUCCUUCUAGUCACCGCCCUCAGCUUUCCAUUGCAUGGUAACCAGACUCAAAAUUUCAGAGCAAAAUAUGGAAGCGGCUGUGCUGCGUAGGCCUCCCAGGCCCAGAGACUCGGGCAACUGCUCCACUGACCUCCGAGGGGCUGUCAGAAAACAGAUGUGCAGGGAAAAGCUGCUCGCCGGGCACUUAUGAGUCAUCGUGAGGAGCAGGGAAGAGGUGUUCACUUUGCUUUCCAGGAGACGCUCGACAUCUGAAAGGCAGGUGACACAACCUAGCGCUUCCAGGGGGUAGCAAGUGCAUUCGCUGCCUGUUCAGCGACAGUAAUAGUGAUCAUAGUAACCGUCAGAACUACUCCUUAUUGGGACAUAUGCUUUAAAUAUUUUCUCAUUGAAUCCCCAUAGCAACUCUAUCAACAUUACUAAUUUACCUACAAGGAAACAGACUUAGAAAUGUCAAGAAACAUACCCGAUGUCAUACAGCUAGUAAGUGCCAAAGCUAUGCUUUCCUGUCUCCUUUAAUGGGCAACAGAGGGGUUGCUGAGCAAUUAAUUCAAGAAGAAAAAAAGCAAAAUUCAGUUGAACAUUUCCACGAAGAUUAGCCAACCGCUGCUUAGUGGUGUCAACAGAAACUGCUCCGGGCCAAGCUCCAUUCCUUCACCAGUCCCAGCAUCAGAAUCACCUACUCACUUACAAAAAAGGCCAAUCCUUAGGCCCAUCCCAGACUUACUGAGUCAGAAUCUUCUGAGAUGGGGCCUAGGAAUGCUCAUUUUACAUGCCCCCCACACCUAACACCCCCAGGAAACUCUGCUGCACAGUCAAGUUUGAGAACAGCUUCUUGUGGAUGACAAAUCUCUUGGGUCACCUGGAAGACCCAGUUUAUACCUGUUGUCCUGGCAUAAAUAGCAGUAGUGCCCCCCUUUAUUGUCAUAAGUGUUCCAUUUUAGACAAUUUGCAUGUAUAUAUUCCUAUAUUUUUUGUACCAAAAUCAGGCCAUGCUGUACAUGCUAUUUUAUAACCUGGAUCUUUUAUCUAAUGAUUUCUACUUUUCCGUGUAAAUAAAAUUUUGUCUCUUCUAA